rnacentral:rRNA from 1 species
GACGAACGCUGGCGGCGUGCUUAACACAUGCAAGUCGAACGGAAAGGCCCUGCUUUUGUGGGGUGCUCGAGUGGCGAACGGGUGAGUAACACGUGAGUAACCUGCCCUUGACUUUGGGAUAACUUCAGGAAACUGGGGCUAAUACCGGAUAGGAGCUCCUGCUGCUUGGUGGGGGUUGGAAAGUUUCGGCGGUUGGGGAUGGACUCGCGGCUUAUCAGCUUGUUGGUGGGGUAGUGGCUUACGAAGGCUUUGACGGGUAGCCGGCCUGAGAGGGUGACCGGCCACAUUGGGACUGAGAUACGGCCCAGACGCCGACGGGAGGCAGCAGUGGGGAAUAUUGCACAAUGGGCGGAAGCCUGAUGCAGCAACGCCGCGUGCGGGAUGACGGCCUUCGGGUUGUAAACCGCUUUCGCCUGUGACGAAGCGUGAGUGACGGUAAUGGGUAAAGAAGCACCGGCUAACUACGUG